rnacentral:rRNA from 1 species
CCUACGGGAGGCAGCAGUGGGGAAUUUUGGACAAUGGGCGCAAGCCUGAUCCAGCAAUGCCGCGUGAGUGAAGAAGGCCUUCGGGUUGUAAAGCUCUUUUGUCAGGGAAGAAACGGCUGCGGCUAAUAUCCGCGGCUAAUGACGGUACCUGAAGAAUAAGCACCGGCUAACUACGUGCCAGCAGCCGCGGUAAUACGUAGGGUGCAAGCGUUAAUCGGAAUUACUGGGCGUAAAGCGUGCGCAGGCGGUUUUGUAAGUCUGACGUGAAAGCCCCGGGCUCAACCUGGGAAUUGCGUUGGAGACUGCAAGGCUUGAAUCUGGCAGGAGGGGGGUAGAAUUCCACGUGUAGCAGUGAAAUGCGUAGAGAUGUGGAGGAACACCGAUGGCGAAGGCAGCCCCCGUGGGUCAAGAUUGACGCUCAUGCACGAAAGCGUGGGGAGCAAACAGGAUUAGAUACCCGUGGUAGUCCACGCCCUAAACGAUGUCCACUAGUUGUCGGGUUUUAAUUAACUUGGUAACGCAGCUAACGCGUGAAGUAGACCGCCGUGGGGAGUACGGUCGCAAGAUUAAAACUCAAAUGAAUUGACGGNNGAGAGAGACGACGACGACGACGAGGGAGGAGG